rnacentral:lncRNA from 1 species
GAAGAAGAAAAAGAAGAAAGUAUUGUCACUGUUCAGCCUUUUCAAGAUGAGUCACCCAGCAGAUAUGCUGACUCUAGGUGACCUCUACCGGCAGCAUAUCCCCCAACAGAAGGAGACUCCCAGGCUUGGCAUUAAUACCUGCCAGGUGAGUAAGCUGGGCUGAGUUUCAUAUAUUUUCAGAGCACCUCUAGAUUGACUUAAGUCAAAAGAUGUGCAGGGCAGAGGCUAGCCUUGGUGAAGGCCAUCACUCUUUAAAAGUUUAUAUAUUGUCUGCCCAACUAGACUCCUUGAGAGGCUGUGUCUUGUUUUCUGGACAGUCUGUUGG